CGGGGUGCACCAGGCGCGAAAACUUUACAAUGCCGGCAACGGCGAUAAGGGAACCUCGAGUGCCAGGUUACAAAUCUGGCUGUCGUGAUGCCUAAAAAGCAUUGCAUAGCAAGGGCCGGGCAAGACCGGUGCCAGCCGCCGCGGUAACACCGGCGGCUCGAGUGGUAACCGUUAUUAUUGGGUCUAAAGGGUCUGUAGCCGGCCGGAUAAGUCUCUUGGGAAAUCUGGCAGCUUAACUGUCAGGCUUUCAGGAGAUACUGUCUGGCUCGAGGCCGGGAGAGGUGAGAGGUACUUCAGGGGUAGGGGUGAAAUCUUGUAAUCCUUGAAGGACCACCAGUGGCGAAGGCGUCUCACCAGAACGGACCUGACGGCAAGGGACGAAAGCUAGGGGCACGAACCGGAUUAGAUACCCGGGUAGUCCUAGCCGUAAACGAUACUCGCUAGGUGUCGGCCACGGUGCGACCGUGGUCGGUGCCGUAGGGAAGCCGUGAAGCGAGCCACCUGGGAAGUACGGCCGCAAGGCUGAAACUUAAAGGAAUUGGCGGGGGAGCACAAGGGCGAUUGCGG
rnacentral:rRNA from 1 species